AGGGCUGCACCCAUGGCAUAUGGAGGCUCCCACGAUAGGGGUCUAAUCAGAGUUGUAGCUGCUAGCCUACACCACAGCCACAGCAAUGAAGGAUCCAAGCCAUGUCUGCAACCUACACCACAGCUCACAGCAAUGCUGGAUCCUUAACCUGCUGAGCAAGGCCAGGGAUUGAACCCACAUCCUCAUGGAUACCUCAUUAACCACUGAGCCAUGACAGGAACUCCUGUUUUGCUUUUUAUGGUCCUAUCUAUGCCAUAUGGAAGUUCCCAGGCUAGGGGUCCAACCAGAGCUACAUCUGCUGGCCUAUGCCACAGCCACAGCAACACAGGAUCUAAGCCAUGUCUGCGACCUAUACCAUAGCUCAUGGCAAUGCCGGAUCCCUGACCCACUGAACAAGGCCAGGGAUCAAACCUGUGUCCUCAUGGAUGCUAGUCAUGUUCGUUAACCACUGAGCCACAACAGGAACUCCUGAUUCUCCCUUCUUGAAAUUGUACUCUCAGAGGAGGCUGAGGUUACCUGUCUUCAUGUCCGUUGCCUUCCACUGAGCAGACGUCAGACAGCUCAGAUGCAGAGCAUCUUUAGAUCUAAAUGUUCAGUACUUAAUAGAUUCCCACUAUAGCUCCAGUUGUAUCCCUAGCCCUGGGAACUUCCAUAUGCUGCAUGUAUGGCCCUAAAAAAGCAAAAAAAAAAAAAAAAAAAAAAAAAAAAAAAAAAGUUGUAUGAAUGUGGUCUUAAAAUAUCUUAUUUGACAAAUAUACCUUUUCCAUUUAAUUAAACACUUAAUACCAUGCACCGUGACCAUAAAUUUUGCAGUUUGAAAUGUGACCAGCACAAAUUUUUUGCCUUCUUAACAAUUUCAUGGAUAGAAGAUUCAUUCUUAUCAUAGAUCUUCGAAACCUCACCAUUUUUUUUCUUUACUUAUUAGUCGAGAACUUUUAUUUUUUCACUUCAAGGAAGCUUCUCUUGAGCAUGUUUGAAUUGCCAGCAUCACUUCCCUUGCGCUCUAGGACCAUUAUUAAGUAAAGUAAGGGUUACUUCGACAUGAAUGUACCAUCUGAUGACUGGGAGGGCCACGCAGUGGCUAACAGGCAGGAUACACUGGACAAAGGGAUAAUUCACAUCCCCAGCAGGACAGACGGAGCAGGAUGGUGCAAUAUUUCAUUGCACUGCUCAGAACAGUGUGCAGUUUAAAACUUAUGAAUUGUUUAUUCAUAACAAUAAUAUUAAACGGAAAAUUGUUGGGACCAUGCGUGGUUGGGUGGGGAUAAAUGAAACUGUGGAAAGUGAAACUAUAGACCAGGGGGCAGCUACCGUACCAGUGACCAAGAUUUUCAACCUUUUGGAAAAUCACAGUCUAUCAGCAUUUAGCCUCCACUAGGCUUUUGAUCUACUGACCAAAAGACAUUUUAUGUGUUCCCGGAAACAAAAGAACAGAAAGUAAAAUUAAAUAAUUACAUAAAAGGAAAUCUAAUCAAUGUCUUUUGGACUGAAAGAUACCAUCUGUUACAUUCAGGACAGGGCAAAGAUGUGCUGUGUAGUAGCCAGCAGGGCUUUACUAACAUGUUUUAUGUAGGUCUGGUUUUUGUGGUUUUGUAAUUUUUUUAGUUUUGCAAUAUUAUGGGCAAAAGAAUUAUGAUACAGUUAAGCGAAGACAACUUACAGAGUAGGUCACAUUUGGUGAAAACCAAAGAAAGCCCCCAAGAUAUUCCAUAGGCUAUGUUAUGUAGUUUGAUAUCAUUUUAUGAAAAAAAGUCAAGAUUCAGAAAGGUUUUGAUUUCCCAAGGCCACACGGUUAGGAAUGAAAUCCAGGUCUCCUGAUUCCUGGGCUAGUCUUUCUAGGAACCUUGAGUCUUUGGCGGUCCUGCCCUGAGAGAAUGAUAUGAAAGGAAAGAAGGAAAGAGGUAGGGGAUGUGGUUCUCUCUCCUCCUACUCUCCUCCCAACACCAGCCAGGGAGGAGGCCCUGCAAGGGAAACAGAUUGGCCUGGGCUGGCCCUGUUCCCUCCUAAUCGUGGUCCCAGGCAGAGCACACUGCCCAUAGAGGCCCCGUGGGCUGUGAUUGCCUUGUUCACUACUAAGCCUAUGUAUGCUUGUUGUGUUGCUGAUUUCAUAAUUAAAUUGUAUAUUAUCGAUUGUACUAGAGAGAAUGAAGACACCAUAUCUGAGGAAAUGAUUCUGCUGGCAUUGCUUUGAAAAUAGUGUUUUCACUUGACUGCAAAAAAAGCAAACUUAGUAUCUGUAUAUUAAGGAUGUAGGUUAUGGAGAAGAAAAAAAUCCAGGUAACUCCUAGCAAUAAGGUCACAUUCUAAGAAAGUUCUUAACUCUAUAUCAAAAAUCUGGUGCCUGACAUUCCCGUGAGCUGUGGUGUAGGUUGCAGAUGUGGCUCAGAUCUGGCAUUGCUGUGGCUCUGGCAUAGGCUGGCAGCUGUAGCUCAGACUGGACCCUAGCCGGGAACUUCCAUGUGCCGCAAGGGGGGGCCCUAAAAAGCACACAAGAAGAAAAAAAAAA
rnacentral:lncRNA from 1 species